CGUGUCUUUUUCGUGUCGGGUCGGAAUUCCUCCACAAGAAAUUGACAAAUUACGACGAAAUUACAACUUAAAAAAUCGAAAAAAUUCAAAAAUUGUCUCCCAAUUGUCCAAGAAAUCGCUGGAUAUCGUCAAAAUUGCCAUAAAAGCUGAUGUUUAGUCAUAUUCAGAGUCCAUGUUGAUAAGUGAAAGUUACAAGAUGUAUCGGUUGAGAAAUAUCUGGUUGCCCUUGACACUAAUCCUGCUUUUGGCUGUUGUAGCGGGCCAACGAGUCGCUCCCGGAGUCAAUCCGCAUCACUAUGAACAAGCGCCGCCACAACAACACGUCAACCAACAGCAGUAUCAACAGCCUCAUGGACAUCAACAACAACAAUAUCAGCAAUACCAACAACCUCAUGGACAUGCUCCUGGUGUGCCGCCGCAUCAGCAGCAGCAGCAGUAUCAACAACCGCCUCAGCAACAACAACAUCAUCAGCAGCAACAACAAUAUCAACAAGCUCCUCAACAUCAGCAACCUCCGCAGCACCAACAACACCAUCAGCAACAGCAGCAACACGGAAACGCCCACGGACACGGGCACGCACACGGCCAACCCGGUCAAAUUCUCAACCAACAAAACCUCGAACACGAAAAGGAACAUUUGGGCGAACACUUGAACGUCCCCAACUUGGACACGAGCAAGAUGUCGGAACAGGAACUGCAAUUCCACUACUUUAAGAUGCACGACUCGGACAACAACAACAAACUCGACGGCUGUGAACUCAUCAAGUCACUGAUUCACUGGCACGUUGACGAGUCAAACACGGAUGAGAUUCCUUUGAAAACUUAUGACGACGAAGAAUUAUCAAAAGUAGCUGACGAGGUCCUCAAACAAAUGGAUAAAAAUAAAGAUGGAUAUAUCGAGUAUUCUGAAUACAAAACUUCACAUGAAGACUGAAAAUAAAUUAAACUGACUUAUUUACAAAGAAAAAAAAUAUUUAAAAAAAUAAAUCUAAAAUCAUUAAAAGUUUUUCUUAGUUUUUUCACGUUUUUAUUUGAUAAUGCACGAUAUAAUGCACUCCAAACACAAACACAACAUAUUAAAACAUGAUACACCGCAUCUUGCAACACAUCAAGUAGUGUUUUAGGGGAUUUAAGUAAAUAACGAACCGAAUGGAGGAACAUCUGGGUGUCGUCAUCAUCAUUAUAUUAUUACAGCUUUGAACAUUCCACACAAACGCCGCCAACCGAUGGUAGCGGAUCGACACAAAUGCCUCCAGAACCUGUGCCAUUGCAAACGGAUGAGCAGUUGCAACAAAUGGUUGAUCCAAUUCUCGAUGUGAUGGAC